GUAGGUGAACCUGCGGAAGGAUCAUUAAUGAAAUAACUAUGGCGUUGGUUGUAGCUGGCUCUUAGGAGCAUGUGCACGCCCGUCAUUCUUAUCUUUCCACCUGUGCACCUAAUGUAGGUCUGGAUAACUCUCGCUCACAUCGAGCGGAUGCAGAGAUUGCUGUGUCGAAAGAUCAGCUCUCUUUGAAUUUCCAGGUCUAUGUACAUUUACAAACUCCAAUUGUAUGAUAACGAAUGUAGUCAAUGGGCUU
rnacentral:misc_RNA from 1 species